CGGGGGCCAUACCUAACCCGGUUUCGGAGGAGGGGGCCGCCCCUCACGGCGGUGCCCGCGCUGCCGGCCCUUUCUCCGGGCAGGGGCUGUUCCCCACCCGGCCCGCGGCGCAGGUACCCGCUCCCGCUCGGGGCAGGCGCCCCCUGGCCCCGGCGCGCCUCAGGGCGGGCUCUCUCCGCCCUUUCCGCUCAGCGGCAGGGGGAGGAGCAGGCGGCGCUAGCAGCCGCCGCUUCUCCGGCCGGAGCUGCCCCUGCGUAGGACAACGAGGGGAGCCCCGCAGGGCAGCGCGCGCCCGGCCGGCCUAGGGAGCGCGGGGAGGCUCCCUCCAGCGAGGGCCUGGGGCGCUCCCGGCCCCGGCCCCGGCCCGAGCGGGGAGGCGGCUCCUCUCUCCAGAGCUGAACGCCGUCCCAGGGGAUUGCGGUGCCCGAGGCGGGGUUCGGGGCGUCCCCUGGCGGGGCGCCGCGCCGCACCAUGCUGCCCCCGCUCCCGCUGCGCCCGUCCGCCUAAGGGCAGGAAGCCCGCGCCAGCUGCCCGCGCUGCCAUGCUGCCGGCGCUCCGCUAGGCGAGCCCGGCUCCCGCAGCGGCUCGGGACCUGGCGGGCAGGGAUCGUUGCGCCUCCCUGGGCGGCGGCACCAUGAGGAACGGCGAGGACCUGGAAGGCUUCGAUGGCGAGGCGUCCAGCGCCUCCAUGAUCUCCGGGGCCAGCAGCCCCUACCAGCCCACCACCGAGCCCGUCAGCCAGCGCCCCGGGCUGGGCGGCCUCCGCUGCCACCUGGACUAUCUGCGGGGCGCCUUCGGCAAGCUCAAGAUCAGCGAGGUGGUUUUGGCACUGAUUGCAUUCAUCUGCAUAGAGACCAUCAUGGAAUGCUCCCCUUGCCAAGGCCUUUAUUUCUUUGAGUUUGUGAGCUGUAGCGCAUUUGUAGUUACUGGAGCUUUAUUGCUUAUGUUCAGUCUAAAUCUUCACACAAGAAUACCACAGAUCAACUGGAAUCUUACAGAUCUUGUCAACACUGGACUCAGCACUUUCUUCUUUUUCAUUGCAUCUGUAGUACUUGCUGCUUUGAACCAUAAAACUGGAGCAGAAAUUGCUGCCGUGAUGGACAAUUUGGAUGUUGUCAUAAGACACAAAUCCUCCAGGAAACUGAAUUCCUUUGAGCAAUGGUCUAGCUGCAAGGAAAGGCAUUGCUAUAUUACGGCUCAAAAAGGAAAGCUCUGCAAUGGAGAUGUGAUUAAAAAAUACAGCACAACCUGAAUCACAGCCCCAAAAUAGAUAUAAAGAAUGUUGGGUUGCACAGCCGCUGAUACAACACACCUGUGAGGCCUGCUCUGGCCAACCACAAGAAGAGGACACACUUGCCCAUAAGAAGUCAAGAAAAGACAGGAUAAUAAUCAAACCAAGUAUAAAACAAUAUUUGGCAGUUUUUUAAUGCAACUCAAUGGGAAGCUGCAAUACAACAUUUUCUGCACUGAUGGGAAGCCAAUAAAGCAGCAGCAGGCCAGGCCCUAUGCCCAGAAUUCCAAGAUGGCACCAUUUAGAGGUAAGUGGCACAGCUCACUUCUCUCUGGAUCAAAUUGACUUGUGUGUUUCAAAAUCUCUCUAAUAACAAAAAUCUCUAGCAUAGUCAUUAAAAAAAUUAUUUGCACGCCAAGCCGCAAAAUGUACAUACUGAGUUUCCCAGCAAGCCACACCUCUUCUGAACCAUUCCCCAAUGCAAAAUUUUAGAUUUGCUACUCAGAUAGUCAUAGGUGGUGUUAUCACUGGUAGCUUCCUAGCUUCCUUUACAAACAGAAUGAUGCAAACAUGCUCCUUCUUCAAUGUUGUUCUAUUCACUACCUGGAAAAUAGGAUAUCAAUAAAUGAUGUGUGCUAGGUUCUGGUCCUGGGUGACAGGUCUGUGCUGUGUUUGAGAGUGGUCUAUGCCUGAAGAAACUACUCCACAGCUUCCUUGCUUUAAUGAAAUGUCAGUUUAUUAUUUAUUAGUCAAACAUAAAAAUGCAUGGGUUCAAGGAGCUGGUUUUUGAAUGGAAGUCUAAUUGGAAUGCACUCUUGAAAUGUUCAUUUAAUCCCAGAAGUGUGAUUAUGCUAUGGAACAGCCUGGAAACAUGAUUCUAUCCAAUUAUGCUUAGAAUUUCUGCAUUUGCAAGUAUCUGAUACAGAUGGGUCCAAACUUCCCUUACAGAGCCAAAUGUUGAACCCAACAAAGGUCAGUGAUGUUUCUAGACCAUUACGGUGAUAGGCAAGCCACAAAAGUCAAAUCAGAAUAUGAGUUCAAAUUCCCCCUCCUAAAUGUGGAGGUUUCCAAGUCAACCUCUAGUGUCAGAGAAGUGAGGGGUGUACAUGUUUGUUUGUUAAGAUGGCCCUUCUGUUUUUUCAAGAAGCAGUGUCUCCUUCUAAGUCCUCCUUAGAUUAGAGGGGUCAAGCAUUUGUCUCACUGAAUUUCAGAUCUAUUGGUUUGGCUGUCUGCAACUACAACAUAUUCCCUGCACCCAGUUGUACAUCAUUUAAGGAGUGUUACAUUUGCCAUACAAGUCACUAAUUGCUCCUGUAAGAGGUCAUUCAGUGCCCUCAAAUACAUAUACCUGGAAAGCACAUUAGGUUGAGAGAGUUCUAAGCAGUUUAAUCUUGUUGAGAUUAUUUACUAAUUUAUUAAACUAACAAACCUUCGUACUGAUCUCUAAUUGCCUUAUUAGAUUGUUCCAUCUGUGAACAAAUGUAGAGGGAAUAUAAUAAGAGAGCAAUAAAUCAUCUCAUGCAUUUAAUAUCAGAGUUUGGGUUUGUUCAAACUUAUAAAGGAGUGGAUGAUUUGGUGUGCAAUACAUAUGGCUUAUUCCUGAAUCCAGUUCUGUUGUGUGAUGGCUCAACUCAUGCUUUGUGAAUAUUCCAUUUGAUUCUCAUGUAUCUUAUGGACUCAGCUCAUCCUCCAGAAUACCAUGGAAGACACUGUUAGUAAUCUCAUUCCCUGUUUCAACUGCUGGCUUUUUGGUGUGUUUGUUAUUUAUUAUGAGAUACAAGGAGUGCUUAAAGUGGUCUGAAAAAAGUGAGGGAUCUGUCAUAAUCUGGGAACAAUACCACAGGUAAGACAGUGCUUAAAGUACACCCCUCAGCGACCUAGCUUGAUUUUUUUUCUCUUUUGUCCAGGGAUAUGACAACUUGUAACCGCCCCUUCCCUCCACAUGCCCACUUUAAGCAGUGAAUAUGAAAGAUUGAGGUGGGUGCUAUAGUAAAGAUUAAUGAGGAACACAGAAAAAAGGGGACACAAGGAGUGAUUCUAACUCCAGCUAGCACUGAGGUUGUCCUAGAGGAAGAUUUGGUUAAUUUAGAAUUAAGAUUGUUAAAUUCAAUGACUAACUAUGCAAUCCCUAAAAUAAUCCCUGAGAAAUCCUCAGUUAUGUUCCUUCUCUCCUGGUAUAUGUCACUUCUGAUACUCUCCUACUCCCACCCACCACCCUCUACUUGUAGGCUUCUUUUGUCACAAAUGUGCAACCUUACUCUGAUCCUAAUGAGUAGUGAGUGCUGAGAUUUUUAUGGAAGGAAUAGUAGUUUCUGGGGCCUUGAAGACCGUUUCUGAUGGAACGUAUCUUGUCUUGGUGUGUGAGACCUGUGGUGGUAGACUGGGAGGGGCGGUAUGAAAUUCCUAGGAAGAUGUAGGUAAAUAUGUAUAUGACAUUGUUCUUGUUUCAGCUUAGGAACCUGUUAUAAGAAACUGAUACUGUUUGUAGGUGGUGGAUGAUUCUUGUGGCUCAAGUUAGGGUUGCACAUAUGAUGGUGAAGGACGAAGCCUUUGUGUUGCGGCUUAUGGGAGAGUAUAGAGGAAUAUGAGAAAUGACACAUCCUGUAGAAGUACAAAUUUAAAAGUGCUGAUUUCAUUCCCCCACCUCCUUUCCCCUCUAAGAUAAGUCUGGCCACUGUUUUCUGGACAGGAAAUAGAAAGUCCCAUAACUUUGUGUUAUAAGCAUAUCUGCUGCACUUGCAUUUGCAGGACAUGACAUGGAUCCACUGUUUUGCUUGGAGCUGGUUGGAAGGUCCAUAAUAUUGAGAAUAUGAGAAGUGUUGUUUCUCACUGCUCUUCUUAAAAAUCUCCUGUCCUUUUUCUGGCUGAAGGCAGGGCAGAGGGGAGGGGAGGGGUGCAGGUAUGGGCAUGAGGACAAACAAAACAAGAAUAAAUAGGUGAAGCAAAGAUGGGCUCUCUGAAUCCAAAUAAUGGAAGAGUUAAACACAAACUGUACUUCAUAGCUUAGCUUACCAAAAAGAAUUGAGCACAAUUUAAGUAGUGAAUUACACUAUAAAAAAUGUAGAAGAAAAAGCAAAAAAGAUCUAAUUCAGAGGUGAGUGGUCCAUAAAAACAGAGGAAAAUAACAGAGAGCUUCUAUACCAGACUCCAUUAAUUUAGCAUAUUGACACCAGAUUUUACUGUGCACAUUUGUCAUUCCCGCCAGCAGAGCAAGGUUUCUCCAUCAAAGGCAUGAGCUAAUUCAGGUGGGUUGGACAUAUAGAUCAGUCUUUGCAUUCUCAUAAGAUCAACCUUUUGGCAACAGAUAAGGCAAAUAGCAACCCACUUUGAGGCAAAUGAAGUGAAGUGUACUUUAAAAUCCACAAAGUCAUAGGAAUAAAAGGAGGAAUAUACAGAGAGUUUGUGUUCAGUGAGAUCUUUACGAAUAUCAGCAGAGAUUCUGUAUCUUCAGGCACAAAACUAGUGUUUGAGACACAGUGGCAGUAUGUGCUUGGAUUGAAAUCCAAGUCAAACAUAAGUUAUUGGGCUCAAUACGAGGGUAAGUGGAUGAAAUAUAGUCGCCUGUGAUAUAUAGGAGGUUGGAUUAGAUUAUCUAAUGAUCCCUCCUAGCUUUAAAUUCUAUUAAUGUACAAAAUCACCAACAUUGUUUGCCUUAUGCUGGUAAAAUGCACUAGGAAUUUUGUUUUGAAAUAACCAUAUAGAUGCACUUUUCCUAUACCUCAUUCUAUUUUCAGUUUUCUGUUGAUGCUAAUUAUAUUCUCUAGAUAUGGGAACUUCAAAACAGAAAAAGAUCGUCAGAUGGGGUUCUCUCAGCAUCUCGGGAUUCCAGCAAAUGUGUCAAGCAAAGCAGGAAAGAACAGGCUUUUAAAAAAGUAACUGCUGUGUGGACUCUGAGUUAUUUAGUGUUUUAUAACUUGCAGAAUUUUGUCAGUAUUACUAAUGGAACAUAAAAUGCUA